GGCAGCAUUUCACACCGAUCUUGGCAGGGCAAGAGCAGGACGGUUUGCUCCCCAUGUGGGAUUUGUUCUACAGUCGCUGCAGUGCGGGGUGUUGUCCUUACCUGGCUGUCUGUGCUGCUGUCUCUCUGGCUGUGCAUUGUAACCUAAAGUGGAUCAGAGAUAGUUGCAAGUGACUCCAACGUUACCAUCUAAAGCUGAGUUAAUGGAGGUAAAUGGCACUUACAUUUCUGAUUCUCUCAACAGAAGAGCUGUUUGUCUUUAUGAUGGCUGGCACUUAACCACAAACCAAGACACUUCCAGUCUGGCAUUCAUCUCUAGGGUCUGCAGACAGCACCAUGGCUGUGAAGAGUAGGGGCUGCUUGGUGAUGCCAAGCUGAAGGAGAGCCCCCAGUCACUAUCACCAAGCCAUGAACAAUGGUGGGACCAGGCCUGCUCCAGGGCCCAACAGACGCUUAGAUAAAUAUCAUUCAAAUCAUGGAGUCUGAUUCAUGAGUCAGGAUGAUGGCAGCCCUCCAAAACCUCCUUGCCCAUGGAGAGUGUGUUUGUGUGAGAGAUACAGAGUUUCACUCUACGAAGAGUAAGAAACUGGAAGCCAAGUGAAUUAAAUACAAAGCAGAUAAUUAUGUGUAAUUCAUUUACUGACUAAUGAUUGCACCUGGUACAGAGGUUUAUGAAUUCAUUUCACUCUGCAUAUGUUCUCAAAAACAGUCUCUCUGCACAGGAUAAAAACUAGACCUGUGUUUACA